GACGAACGCUGGCGGCGUGCUUAACACAUGCAAGUCGAACGAUGAAGCUGGAGCUUGCUCCGGUGGAUUAGUGGCGAACGGGUGAGUAACACGUGAGCAAUCUGCCCUUGACUCUGGGAUAACUGCGGGAAACUGUAGCUAAUACCGGAUACUUUCACUGGAAGGCAUCUUCUGGUGAAGAAAGAAUUUCGGUCAAGGAUGAGCUCGCGGCCUAUCAGCUUGUUGGUGAGGUAACGGCUCACCAAGGCGACGACGGGUAGCCGGCCUGAGAGGGUGACCGGCCACACUGGGACUGAGACACGGCCCAGACUCCUACGGGAGGCAGCAGUGGGGAAUAUUGCACAAUGGGCGCAAGCCUGAUACAGCAACGCCGCGUGAGGGAUGAAGGCCUUCGGGUUGUAAACCUCUUUUAGCAGGGAAGAAGCGAAAGUGACGGUACCUGCAGAAAAAGCACCGGCUAACUACGUGCCAGCAGCAGCCGCCG
rnacentral:rRNA from 1 species